GGGUAAAGUUUUGACCUGUCACAUUGAAUAUUAUAUAGGGUAUCGUAUAGGAUGUUCGAGCACUAAUAAAAAAAACCUAAUUAUAGAAUUUGUUAGUAAACCACGAGACGAAUUUAUUAAGUCUAAUUAAUCCGUCAUUAGCAAAUGUUUACUGUAGCACCACAUUGUCAAAUCAUGGAGCAAUUAGGCUUAAAAGAUUUGUCUCGCAAAUUAGUCGCAAUCUGUACAAUUAAUUAUUUUUUAGCCUAUAUUGAAUACUUCAUGCAGGUUUUUAAACGUUCGAUAUGAUAGGGUGAAAAAUUUUAGGGUGAGAUCUAAACAGGAUCUUUGCCUCAAAAUUUUCACAGUAGCGAGCAGCCGAGAAAUCAGCUAGUGCCUCAAAAGCAAGAUGAAAAGGCCUUAGAAAACAUAUAAGUGAUCAUAUAUCUAUUCACAAAAAUAUAGAAGGUUAGAUUCGUUACCCACAUGGAGAAAAAAAACAAAUUCAAUUGUAAAUACAACAGCACUUUUUAUUGUCUUGUUUGUCUCCGUGUAUAAAGUCAUUUUGACCUUAGAAAUUUACCAAAGGACAUGUCACACAAUGACUUAUCUUGUUUUUUGAAUUUUCGCAAGUAUUUAAACCACUAGGAAGAAAACCCACUCACACGCAGAAGCAUUAUUUUUAAUUUUGUUUAAAAUACUAGAGAUACUACAAAAUAUCGCAUCUUCCCAUUAAUUGGAAAAUUGUAUGAUAACAAGUUGAAGCACAAAAUGAAUUUGCUUUGUAUCUAGACAAAUUAACUUCAUGUGCUUUACACAAAAUUACAUCUUCCGUAGAUCCUCCAAUGCUAGAAAUAUUAAGAUAGUGUAGAUCAAUAAGAUAAGAGUGAUAAUAGAUCAGUGAUCCAAAUGUUUAAAAUAAUUGGGAUGGUUUGGUAAAAAUAAUAUAGAUGAGAUGAUGUCCAUGGUUUCAAGAGAGAAGAAGGACAUUUCAUAGCAUAUAUGAAUAAUCUAAGGGCUUAAAACGAUUAAGGUAAUGUGAUCUCACGAGAGGAUAAAUUAGCAUUAACCAUACAUAGGGUAUGUUCAAAAGUGAAGAGCGGGUUGGCUUCUUCCUCGGUUCUCAUUAGCGUUUCUUGCAAAAAAGAAUUUAUAGAAGUUGCUUUAAAAAUUAAAUAAAUGCAAAUUUUAUUUUUUUAAUAAUUUAGGGCAUGUUUAGAUUGUAGCUAAAAUAAACCUUACCAAAUUUUGGCAGGAUUUCCUAUGUAUUUGCUAAUUUUGGAAACAAACUAAACGUAGACAUUUUUUGACAACCUUACCAAAAAAUGGUAUUAUUGAAAAUGACAUCAAAGUGAACAGACCCUUAUAGGUGGUGUUUGGGAAGAGACUAAAGUUUAGUCCCUCCUUCCCAAACACCCCCCAUACUCAAUCUAUCUAUACCUUCUAUAUAAUUAGUACCCACUACUUUUAAAUCUUAACAUGUAACGACUAGAGAUGAAAUUGGUACAUAUUUUUCGUCAGUUCGGACCUUGUUUUUAAAACAAAUAGGUUCGUUAGAUAGUUCCAAAUAUUUUCGGAUAUAGAAACAAAUUCUGAGUAUUUUCUCAGAAUAGAACCGAAUACAGUAAGGACACUAUCCAUCGGAAUUGAAAAACGGUCGGAAAGUAUCCUGGAUUUUUCUCUAGAUAUCCGUAGACCGCAAGUAUUAAUUAAUUAAAAAACACAUAGAUAUACAUAACUUUAUCAUAUGAAGUUAGAUGAAUACAAACUUUACAUCAAAAUUGUAGAGCUCGACGAGAGAUCUACAACUUUGUUGCUGAAGACUUUAUUAUUUGAGAUCAUUUAGGGGGUCUAAAUAUUCAUUACAAAAUAUCAUAUCUGCUUUUACAAAAUCUGUAAUGUACAAUUCAAAUGACAUUUGAUGGAAACAAACUCUAUAUGAAAGUUGUAGAGUUGAAUGGGAUAGUUUAUGACAUUUAUAAUUUAAAAUAUUUAAAGUGUAAAAACUUGAAACGGAAUAAAGUGAAUAACAUUUUCAAUCUAUACAACAAGAACAUACAUGAUAUGGUAAGUAAGCUAUGCAUCAAAUAAGACAUCUUGGGACUAUGAAGUGGAUAAUCAUAUUUACAAUCACCUAUAAAUUUGACGAUAUAAAUUUUGGAGAUAGUGACCUUUUAUUUCAAAGAAAAUAACCAGCGAUAUCUCUUCCUAGAUUAAGGAAGCUCAAUUAACGGGUUUUAUAUCCUGUCAAAUACUUGUUACUGUAUUCAUUCUGUUUUUGUUUUGUAUUCGCUCAGUAUCAGUAUUUGAUAAUAUUCACUUCCAUUUUUGUAUCCAUGUUUUUUUAUUCCAAUUCAGAAAAACAAUAUGACAACGGAUAUGGUAGAGCUAGUUUCUAUAUGUUUCUAAUCUGUUUUCAUCACUAAAUAUGGCACAUCAUCACACACUAGCAAUUAUUUGUCUUAGAGAAUUUUAAAGCUCACGCAACCAUGACACAUUAUUUACAAUUUAUUACUCCAAGCAUUUCAUAUCGUGUCAAUCAUCAUCCUCACAUUAUCUUCACAUUAUUCCACAUUAUAUGCAGGUGCAUCUAAUAUUUUUAAUGAAAUAUUAUAAAUUCACUUAAAUGCAUUUUAAAAAUUUAUAAUGCUAGAAUCAAAAUAUUAUUGGGGACCAACUUCCUCAGUGAGAUUUGUUAAGUUCCUGCCGGGGUUCGCAUCGGGUGCCUAGUCCAUCGUCAUCACACUCAUAGAGGACUGCAUCAAUGAGCCAGUAUAUAUCUAGUUGACCUCUGUCACCAACGCCGACUCCCCACUAGGGCCCAUGUCGGUUCAGCCAUUGUGCCCAACGUCCGAUACUCACAACAGUGUACCAAGCUCUGCAUUGAUAUAUCCAUGACGACCGUUGUGGGGAGGACACAGAUGAAUUGGGGUAUAUGGAUGCGAAGGAUUCUAGAGGGUGUUUUAGGUGUUCCAUGUGAUUAUAUAGAUAGAAAAUACAAUGAUGUGACAUAAGUGGCAUUUGUCUUUGAAGUCUUGACCCCAUUAUUUGUGGUAUAGGGUAGAGAAACAUUUUUUUAAUUUUAUCUUCUUCAUCCCUUGUCUAUAUUCACCAACAUCACAUGAGUUUUUUUGAACACACAUAUGAAGCACAUACAUUGAUCCAUGUAUGAAUCUAUUUAAAAAACCAAAACAUUUUAUAGUAUGAAAUAGAGGACAUACUGCUUAAAUUCAAUUUCCUCUUUUGAAUAUGAGUGGGAUCAACCAUUGCAACACAACAUAAAAAUAUUAUCGAAUGCUAAAGAGCAUUAAUUUUUAUAUUCUAACAUAGAUCUAAUGUCUAACAAGAUCUUGUGCGUUACCAACAGUGCGUUAUAUAUUUAUAGUUAUGGGGCCAUAUUUUCUAAUUUGAAUAAUUAAUUUAGUGUCAAGGAAACUUAUUUACAACUGAGACAUGCAUUUACUACUUCACUGUAGUGUAUUUACAAGGAAUCCUAUAUACCUAUACAAAUCAUCCCCACUACUACAAUUCUCUGCUUCCUGGUGCUUCCACGUCACCCCUUUUUGUCCCCACCGUUAGAUUCGCAUCGAGCCCUUCCUCCGCAUCGCUCCUCUCCUCUCCCCUCCCGCAUCUCGUUGCGGCGCCGGCCCCACGCGCAUUGAUCCCGCGUCGCUCCCCUCCCCUCCCCGCAUCGCUCCCCUCCUCUCCUCUCCCGCAUCUUGGCUUCGCCGGCCCCACGCGCACAUCGCUCCUCUCCGCAUCGUUCCUCUCCUCUCACAGCCUGAAUUUCCGUUUUAGGAUUUAUAAAUUAUUUAAUAAACUAUUAAUAGAAAUUAUAUUAAAUGUUCAUUAAUUUACAAGUGAAGUUAAAUGUGGGAAAUAAAAUUUCCUAAAUUUAAAACAUGGAUGGAUUUAAAUUUUAUUAAAUUCUCCAUGAUUAAUUAUACUCUCUGAAAUUUUCUCGGAUUUUUCAGAGCUCAAUCCCUAAAUUAAUUAAUUAAUCAAUUAAUGAUCUAAUUAUAAUUAUGUUCAGUGCUUUUCUUGUUUAAAAAUCCUUAAAAUAUAAAUUGUUGUCUAAAAGGAAUUAUUUAGAAAUAAUCUUAAAAGCCUAAAAGAGAAGAUCUAAUUUUUAAUUUGUUAAAUCUCAAUAUAAAAGUGGGUUAGAUAAAAUUUUGUUAAAUACUUCUCUUGUUUCUGUAGUUCAUAGAUUUUUCUGGGAUUUAUUUGAGCCAAGGAAGUAUUUUUAAUCAAUGGAAUAUCAUUUCAUGAAUAAUUUAAAUAGAAAAAGGUUUUAAAAUCUCUCUUUUAGCUUUGGGCCGAAAGUCAGCCCAAGUCUCUCUUCCUCUCCUCGGCCUGCUUGCGUCCGGCCUAGCCGGCCCAGUCCGCCGUCCCUCCCUCCUCUCUCUCUCGGUGCCGCUGACAGGUGGGGCCCACCUGUCAUUCGUCUUCAACCUUCGGCCGCUCCUAGCCGCGCCGCAAGCCGCCGAUCUCCUUCUAAAAUCCGGCCGUCUCCUUCCUCCUUCGGCCGAAUUGAUUGAGGGGAAAUAAUCUCCUCGAUCUCCUCUUCCUUUUCUCUUUAGGAAUCCCGGGCUAAUUUCGUUUGGAAACCGACGGAUUUGAGCUCGAUUCGGAUCAAUCUCUCUCUUCUAACCCUAAAACUUUCCAUCUCCUUGCCGCCGGCCAUGGGCCUCCGUCGCCGCCUCCUAGCCCCU
rnacentral:sRNA from 1 species